rnacentral:ncRNA from 2 species
AUGCUAACUGCCGUUAGGGUGACCUCCGAACGGCGAAGCAGCAGGAGGAAGCCGGUGUGAAUCCGGCGCGGUCCCGCCACUGUGACCGGGGAGCACCCCGGGAGUCAGGAACUCCGCUCGCCGUCCCCUACGAC